ACGACAGGUAUUUCAUACACAAAUAAAGC
rnacentral:sRNA from 1 species